AUUGAACGCUGGCGGCAGGCCUAACACAUGCAAGUCGAACGAGUGGCGGACGGGUGAGUAAUGUCUGGGAAACUGCCCGAUGGAGGGGGAUAACUACUGGAAACGGUAGCUAAUACCGCAUACUACCAGAUGAGCCUAGGUCGGAUUAGCUAGUUGGUGGGGUAAAGGCCUACCAAGGCGACGAUCCGUAACUGGUCUGAGAGGAUGAUCAGUAACACUGGAACUGAGACACGGUCCAGACUCCUACGGGAGGCAGCAGUGGGGAAUAUUGGACAAUGGGCGAAAGCCUGAUCCAGCCAUGCCGCGUGUGUGAAGAAGGUCUUCGGAUUGUAAAGCACUUUCAGCGGGGAGGCGUUACCCGCAGAAGAAGCACCGGCUAACUCCGUGCCAGCAGCCGCGGUAAUUC
rnacentral:rRNA from 1 species